CACACGCUCAGGUUUCCCCAGGCUGGACUUGGGAAAGGCAAGAGAACUGUAAGCGGGCUAUUCGGAGAGGCUGACACAGAAGAACUGGCAGGUGCGGAGGAUGAAAGCGAGGCAGACUCUUCCAGAUGCCUCGGGCCAUAUUCUCCUUCAUAUCUACAAUGAAAACCUGCUGGAGGAAGUAUUACAGCUUGCAUUUACCUGCCUACUAGGGCGUGGCCUCUUAUACUAUUUAUGGGACAGCCAAAGGUGCAUGGGCCCCUUUUUGCUCGUUCCCCUUGCUCACUCCGUUCCUGCUGGCUGCUCUUCUGGAUUGCGUGAUUCCACCAGUCAAGUGGAAGAUUCUGAUUUGCGAGUUUACCCCUUAAUAAAUGACUAUCGAUUUC